CGUUAGAGUGAGUGGACAAAAAUAAAAUAAAGGAAAUAAUGCUUUAUGCUUUCCCAAUUUUACUUUUCCAUAAAAAAAAUAUGCUGCAUGCGACAGCCCAAAACGCUCAACACGAAAACUGGAAUUUCAUGACUGGCUCCGGCCAGUCUCCAACGCUCAAUAAAAUACAGCCUCUCAGGCUAAAAUAAAAUAUGUAUGUAUUACACUCGUCAUAUCCCUUGUAUGAAUUUUCUUGAAACAACUAAAACAAAUAGAAAAUUCACACAAGGCUACAACGCUUGCGUCUAACGCUCACGUUGCACCAUAAUGGCAUUUUACCUCAUUAUGGUGGAAAAGACGGUGUAUAAAUAUACGCGCAUAUCCCCUAUAUAAAUUAUUAUUUUUAUAUAGGGCUACAACGAUUGCGUCUAACGUUCACGUUGCACCAUAAUGAAAUUUUACCUCAGUAUGGUGGAAAAGCACGUAUAGCUAGCUAGCAUUCUCUCAUAUACAUAUUAUUCUCAUAAUCAUCCACAUAUGGAUAUAUAUAUAUAUAUAUAUAUACACUCACCGAAAUUCUCAAUUUCGGUUAUUCUCCAACAGCAUAAAUUAUUUCGCAUGCACAUUAUUUAAAACAAAAGUCCACUCACAAAUUAGGCCUAAGCCUGAUGUCGAUCUGGGGCCUCGUCAGCUCGAGCCUCCUCACGACCUGUUCCAAAUAUAAUAUUAAGUUCCCAGCCGAAAUUCCAAUAUUUACACAAAAUAGGCAGAAAUUAACCGAGAGCCAUUAACACGCUCAUCAUUGCCUAACUUCGAAAUGGUUCACAUUUCAACCCUAGAACCAGCAGCCGUAACUACACCUUCCCACAGAUUAAACAACUUAAUCCAACGGCCGGAUUCUACAUAAAUUAACCGCCAAAAAUACUAACUUCGGAAAUUCAUAAACCUAUCCAAAACUCAUCCAAAAAUUCCAUAACUCACUUCAAUAAACUCCCCUUAAUAUUCCAAAUUUAACAACAUUAAAAUCUCCUAAUCGGCGGCGGCUCCGCCGGCAGCGGCGGCCGGAGGCCAAUUCCGGCGACCUCCAAUUCCUAUGAAAUUUUAACAGCAUCUUCCUCUCAUCAUGCUCUACAACUUUCCUAACUAGCACAAACCCAAAAUCCAAGCCUAGCUAUGCCAAUCGAACAAAAACAUCAAAAACGCCCUAGAGCUUCCACCUCAAAUUUCUCCUUACCUGAAGCAAACCGGAGUGAGUCCUUUUAGG
rnacentral:lncRNA from 1 species